rnacentral:rRNA from 1 species
CAGCCGCCGCGGUAAGACGAACCGUGCGAACGUUAUUCGGAAUCAUUGGGCUUAAAGCGCGUGUAGGCGGAUGGGAACGUCGGUCGCUGAAAUACCCCGGCUCAACCGGGGAACUGGCAUCGAAACGACCCGUCUCGAGGGGCAUAGGGGGAGCUGGAACUUCCGGUGGAGCGGUGAAAUGCGUUGAGAUCGGAAGGAACGCCCGUGGCGAAAGCGAGCUCCUGGAUGUCUUCUGACGCUGAGACGCGAAAGCUAGGGUAGCGAACGGGAUUAGAUACCCGGGUAGUCCCUGUCUCUUAUA